rnacentral:rRNA from 1 species
UACGAAGGGGGCUAGCGUUGCUCGGAAUGACUGGGCGUAAAGGGCGCGUAGGCGGAUUGCUUUGUCAGACGUGAAAUUCCAGGGCUCAACCUUGGGGCUGCGUUUGAGACGGGUGAUCUUGAGUGGAGAAGAGGGUCGUGGAAUUCCCAGUGUAGAGGUGAAAUUCGUAGAUAUUGGGAAGAACACCGGUGGCGAAGGCGGCUCUCUGGACCGAUACUGACGCUGAGGCGCGAAAGCGUGGGGAGCAAACAGG